GACGAACGCUGGCGGCGUGCUUAACACAUGCAAGUCGAACGGAAAGGCUCCAGCUUGCUGGAGUACUCGAGUGGCGAACGGGUGAGUAACACGUGGGUAAUCUGCCCUGCACUCUGGGAUAAGCCUGGGAAACUGGGUCUAAUACUGGAUAUGACCUUUCUCCUUAUGGGGUUUGGUGGAAAGUUUUUCGGUGUAGGAUGAGCCCGCGGCCUAUCAGCUUGUUGGUGGGGUGAUGGCCUACCAAGGCGACGACGGGUAGCCGGCCUGAGAGGGUGAUCGGCCACAUUGGGACUGAGAUACGACCCAGACUCCUACGGGAGGCAGCGGUGGGGAAUAUUGCACAACGGGCGGAAGCCUGAUGCAGCGACGCCGCGUGAGGGAUGACGGCCUUCGGGUUGUAAACCUCUUUCAGCAGGGACGAAGCGCAAGUGACGGUACCUGCAGAAGAAGCACCGGCUAACUAUGUG
rnacentral:rRNA from 1 species